rnacentral:rRNA from 1 species
UCUUAUGUACAUGCCUACAACAUUAAUGCAUAGGGUCCCAUUAGAACUCCGUAGUUAAGCGCGAUUGGGAUAGCAUAGUACUGGGAUGGGUGGCCACCUGGGAAGUCCUGGUGUUUUACAUGCC